rnacentral:piRNA from 1 species
UCAUAUCUUGCAGGGUGGUGUGAAUC